rnacentral:rRNA from 1 species
GAUGAACGCUAGCUACAGGCUUAACACAUGCAAGUCGAGGGGUAACGAGAGGGAAGCUUGCUUUCCUUGUCGACGACCGGCGCACGGGUGAGUAACGCGUAUCCAACCUGCCCCCAACUAGGGAAUAACCUUGCGAAAGUAAGACUAAUACCCUAUAAUUUCCUCAGAUGUCAUCUGACGAGGAAUAAAGAUUUAUCGGUUGUGGAUGGGGAUGCGUCUGAUUAGCUUGUUGGCGGGGUAACGGCCCACCAAGGCAACGAUCAGUAGGGGUUCGGAAAGGAAGGUCCCCCACAUUGGAACUGAGCCACGGGCGAAACGCCUACGGGAGGCAGCAGUGAGGAAUAUUGGUCAAUGGGCGGAAGCCUGAACCAGCCAAGUAGCGUGCAGGAUGACGGCCCUAUGGGUUGUAAACUGCUUUUAUACAGGAAUAAAGUUAGCCACGUGUGGUUAUUUGUAGGUACUGUAUGAAUAAGGACCGGCUAAUUCCGUGCCAGCAGCCGCAGUAA